rnacentral:sRNA from 1 species
CAUGCUCAACGAGAAGGAGGCCCAGCAAGUGUAUGGCGGGAAGGAGGCCAGGACGGAGGAGAUGAAGUGGCGGCAGUGGGCGGACGACUGGCUGGUGCACCUGAUCUCCCCCAAUGUGUACCGCACGCCCACCGAGGCUCUGGCGUCCUUUGACUACAUUGUCCGCGAGGGCAAGUUCGGAGCCGUGGAGGGCGCCGUGGCCAAGUACAUGGGUGCAGCAGCCAUGUACCUCAUCAGCAAGCGACUCAAGAGCAGCCUCCCUGUCUGGGACAGAUGCUCCCUGAGGCGUCUGCAGAUGUGAUGCUCUCACCUGGGGUGCCGUCCUGGCUUCCACACCUCCCCGCUCUCCCCAGAGGAGACCCUCUUCCCUGCUGGGCUGGGAGUGGGGGCUCCCCUGAGGGGCUUUUCCCUUCCCCGCCCAGGCACCGCCUCCAGGACAAUGUGCGCGAGGACCUCUAUGAGGCUGCCGACAAGUGGGUGGCUGCUGUGGGCAAGGACCGGCCCUUCAUGGGGGGCCAGAAGCCGAAUCUCGCCGAUUUGGCGGUGUAUGGCGUGCUGCGUGUGAUGGAGGGGCUGGAUGCAUUCGAUGACCUGAUGCAGCACACGCACAUCCAGCCCUGGUACCUGCGGGUGGAGAGGGCCAUCACCGAGGCAUCCCUGGCGCACUGAAUGUCCCCGCGCAGAGCGGGGGGAAGGCAGCAGAAGACGCCAGCUGCCAGGGCCUGGGGCCACUGGGCCAGCGCCUGGCGAUACUGGUGGGGGGCAGGAUCAUUCUGCCCCUUGUCCACCCACUCCCCCAGCCCUCUUACUUCUAACACAGGGCACCUGCUGGGGCUCAGGGAUGUUAGGGACGAGUUCCAGCCCUGCCACUGCCCUGGGGCGACCCCUCCCUGUCCCUGCCUCCCUGCUCUGCCACCCCUCUCCCUGGACCCUCAGUGGCUGUCCCAUGGCUACAUCCUGUGGGUGGGGGGCCUCGACAGGACGGCAGGACGCUUCAUUUUCAGUGGAAUCCCAUCCCUGGGUUCCCCUGGUUCCCACUCUUCCCAAGCCUCCCGGGACUGG